rnacentral:lncRNA from 12 species
CCUCCAGACCUGGUUCAGAAGGGCCUGGUGAUGGCGUUCGGGGCUCCGGUUCCAUGGUGAGCCUGUGGGCGGGUCAUUUGCAGACACAGCGGGGGACUUGCUGUGUCCACCUGCGGGCAGCAGGCUGACCCCGACUUGCACCACCACGAAGGUUCCUGGGAGCAGCUCCUUACUCUUCAUGUUCUGUCCUGUGAGGAGUUAGUGGAACCAGAGUGACAGGAGCCAAGCUGUCACUGCAGGUGAAGCCUGACCUUCGGCCUGAGUCACUCGCCUCGCAGCUGCCGUCGGCUCUGGUGCCGUGGGAGGAAGGGGGUGCGUGUUCGUCCGGCUGUUGGGGUGCCAAGCAGCAUUGGACCCUCCACCGAGCAGAGUAGCUGUGGCGCUCAGGGCAGCAGAGGUUCGCGUUGGUGCCUCACAUCCGCCCCCCGGGAGAGGCGCCGAGGCCCUGGGCCUUCCACGGCCCAUCCCACCCACAUGGCAGCUUCGUGCCGGCAGCAGGUCACGCACGGUCCCUGGCCUGAGGUCCCCGGUGCGGGCACUGUGGGACACUCGCUCCUGGCGACUCUAAAAAGGUGCUGCAAAAACAAGGUGUGUUUUGAGAGCGGUUAGCACGUAGGACAGAGGCCCCGGUGAAGACGGCCGCGUUGGCCCUAGCCCUGACCCGCGCCGCGGGCGCGUCCACUCCCGGCUCCGGCACAGCGGACAGGGUGUAAAUGCGGGUCCCGGGGGCUCACUCACAAGCCGGCACGGACGGAAAUAGUGUCUUACGGGAAAUGAGGCCUGGAGGAGGGCGUCUUGGGAGGGGGUGGGUUGGUUUGCACUUCCAGCUCUUGGAACUUGUUAGAGACGCCGCAUCAGCCAAAUCGCUGUUUUUUCCUGAAUCUCAGUUUCCCCUCGAGAAAGAAGUGCGUGUGAAUGGCUGCACAGCCCUCUAACGAGGCCUCGGUGAGGAGCGAAGGAUGCGAGGAGUGCCAAGUUUCCGUGGAGUGCAGACACCCGCACAGGGCGCUGCAGGCUGAGGGAGGCGCCGUUGGAAGCCUGGCGCGAGGACCCGGCCGCCGUCUGAUGGAAGGCAGCAGCCCCGGGCACCGUGCUUUGCUCUCCUGCCGUCGGGACGCAAGCUCACCGGGUCCUGGUUAUGCUGUCAGACUCUUUGUUGAGAACACCUCUGCUUUUAAGAAGACUUCUGUGGUCCUUGUUUAUUAUGUAGGAGGCUCGCCCGUUCCCAGGCCUCAAAGGACAGUCUGUAAGUUCUGGAAGCUUCUGGCGGCGUUGGGUUGUGGUGCCUGCGCGCUCGCUGUCCGCCCCCCUGCUGCCGUCUGCCCUUUGGGCCAUCGGAUGGUCAGGCCGGGGCAGCCUCGGGAGCGCUCCAGCAGGAGGCUAACAGCAAUCCAUUGUGGUCGACACGACCGUGCGGACGCCGUGCUACAAGCCGAGGACAGAAUUAGGGGCAGGCCCUUGCCAGGUGCUCAGCGUGCGCAGCAGGACGGGCUCCACAGGCACACCAACGAUUCCGCGAUGUGUUCAGCGUCCACCCGCCCCCUCGUGCCAACGCAGGCCCCUGCGUGAGCCCCGUCGUGUCUCCUGAGGCCCGGUCUGCACGGACAGUCCGCGCAGAUCCUGGGUGAGGACUCCACGCAGAAAUCCGCCCGCAGCCGACUAUCACCCCAUGGGUCUACCCCCUCUCCAGCAUGCCAAGAACACUCGACGAUCUAGGGAAAAUACCACAGAACAGUGUUCUGAUCUCGGUGGAGAAAGAAACUUUAUCCUUAGACAAGAUUCUUAAAAAAUCUAUUUUUUUCCUUAAAAAACCUAUUAACAGCGAAGGGAAAAUGUAAAACAGUGACUACGUUCAUGUUAUGAAUUUUUCUUUCUCAAAGAUGCCUCGAAGACCGUGAAUGGGCAGCGUUGGGAGAAGCGGGCUAUGCACGAGGAGCAUGGGGAGCGCGGGGAGCACGCGGUCCCGGUGGGAGCACACGCAGGGCUCGCACAUCCACCGGUACAGAAUCAGGCCAAGCGUGGACAGGUGCUUCCUGGGGUGGCUCGCUGGGGACGACGGCACACGAUGUCCACGGCCAAUUAGGCUGUGAAAUCAGAGAGACCCAGAGGAGCACCGUCAGCCCGUCCUGCCCACUACGCCUGAGUCCCCCAGUGAGACACGGGGACGCUCCUUCGCCCAGGACACCACCACUCGCUCUGAGCCUGAACAUCCUUAACGUCUCAGAACCAAAGUGUGAGCGAAGAAAAGUCACAGAGAAACUUGAUGCACGUGUGUUGAUUCACAGAAAGUUGAACUCACGUGAGCUGGGGCAGUACGUGACAUGGUGCACGCACGCCUGUACAAUUACGGAAACCAAGGACACGGGAAGGGCAGGUUGAGGAUGUCACUCGUUUCUGGAUGCAGGCAGGGCUGGAGGCCACGGGUCCAGGGCGUGCAGGGAAGGGGUGAAGCCAGGGGGUCGGGGGGUGCAGGCAGGGAUGAGGCCAGGGGCUGGGGGGUGCAGGGAAGGGGUAAAGCCAGGUAGCCGAGGGGUGCAGGGAAGGGGUGAGGCCAGGGGCUGGGGUGCAG